AUUGAACGCUGGCGGCAUGCCUUACACAUGCAAGUCGAACGGUAACAGGUCUUCGGAUGCUGACGAGUGGCGAACGGGUGAGUAAUACAUCGGAACGUGCCUAGUAGUGGGGGAUAACUACUCGAAAGAGUGGCUAAUACCGCAUGAGAUCUACGGAUGAAAGCAGGGGAUCGCGAGACCUUGUGCUACUAGAGCGGCCGAUGGCAGAUUAGGUAGUUGGUGGGAUAAAAGCUUACCAAGCCGACGAUCUGUAGCUGGUCUGGGAGGACGAUCAGCCACACUGGGACUGAGAAACGGCCCAGACUCCUACGGGAGGCAGCAGUGGGGAAUUUUGGACAAUGGGCGCAAGCCUGAUCCAGCAAUGCCGCGUGCAGGAUGAAGGCCUUCGGGUUGUAAACUGCUUUUGUACGGAACGAAAAGCCCCGGGUUAAUACCCUGGGGUCAUGACGGUACCGUAAGAAUAAGCACCGGCUAACUACGUGCCAGCCGCCGCCGUAA
rnacentral:rRNA from 1 species